CCUACGGGAGGCAGCAGUGGGGAAUAUUGGACAAUGGGCGAAAGCCUGAUCCAGCCAUGCCGCGUGUGUGAAGAAGGCCUUCGGGUUGUAAAGCACUUUCAGUGGGGAAGAAAGCCUUGGGGCUAAUACCCUCGAGGAAGGACAUCACCCACAGAAGAAGCACCGGCUAACUCCGUGCCAGCAGCCGCGGUAAUACGGAGGGUGCGAGCGUUAAUCGGAAUUACUGGGCGUAAAGCGCGCGUAGGCGGUCUGAUAAGCCGGUUGUGAAAGCCCCGGGCUCAACCUGGGAACGGCAUCCGGAACUGUCAGGCUAGAGUGCAGGAGAGGAAGGUAGAAUUCCCGGUGUAGCGGUGAAAUGCGUAGAGAUCGGGAGGAAUACCAGUGGCGAAGGCGGCCUUCUGGACUGACACUGACGCUGAGGUGCGAAAGCGUGGGUAGCAAACAGGAUUAGAUUCCCUGGUAGUC
rnacentral:rRNA from 1 species